rnacentral:lncRNA from 1 species
ACCGGGCUCACCCACUGGGGUCUCCCGCAUGACGAGGCCAAGAGGAUCUGGAAUACGUUCCCUCGUCAAGCCUUUUCUGAAGGGACUUCCCUGUGGUUAGUUGUCCAGGACAUACCAUUUUGGCAAGGCCAGCCAGGAGAGUCAAGCUUGCGUCCCAGAGACCAAGAGCGAUCCUCAGCCCACCCUGCCCAAGGAAGCUCCACUCACCUUCCCCAGCCAGGGCCAGGACUCUCAGCGUGGCUGCCUGCUCCUCCUGCAGCCUGGAGGCUUCCAGGUCCUCCUGUGGGCAGCAUGGAAAGCACGAAGUCAGAGGCAGCAAGGACAUCCCACGCAGGGCCCGCCUCAGCAGCUUCAUCAUCUGUGUCUCCUGCAGCUCCUGGCAGAGACUGUCCAGGGCCUCCUUCUUUGUUUCUGUGUGUCACGGCUGCAUCACCAGCUGCCAGUGAACAGAGGUCAACUUGGCAGGGCCUACUUCUCUGUAAAUGUGCUAGGGGCAGGUAGACCUCCUGACCUCCUGCUUGGUGAGGAAGCUGAGGCUGACUAGCUGUGGCUACCACAGCUGGUUAGAGGAGCCAGUGCCAGUUCAGGCAGUCUGGCCCAAGGUCACAGAAGUAGACAGUAGUCACUUUGGGCCAGGCAUCCGUGCUUCAUGCACAGCUCACAUCUGGGAGCAGCAGGAAGUGAAGAAGGCAGGGCCCAGGCUGUCACCUGAGCAGUCUGAAGGAGGAAGGAUGUGUGCUGGUGCCAGCGUUGGUGCAGGUGGUGAGGCGAGCCUCUCCCAAAGUGUGCAAACCACAGGGAGACUGGAGACCCUGACUCACACCUGCUAUGGAAGAAACCAAAUGGGCAGCUCUUCUGGGCCACCAGCCUAUGGGUUAACUAGAUCUGACCUUCCCUUGGUGCCCAGGUGACACGCACUGACCUGGCCUCUGAGCCUCACCUGGGUCUUCAUUGCUGUCUUCUCUCUGUGCCCUGCACCACCUGCUCAGACCGGGCUGACCCUGCCCAGCCACAACCCCCAUCUUGGCUUCGCUCUGUUGGUCUGUCCUGCUCCUCAGCCCUGACCCUCGGCACCCUUGUCCCCUUCCAGCAGCCCUGCGCCAAGCCCACUUCCUACUGAAAGCUGUUACAGAAAACAUGGAGCAAACACACUAGAAGGGCAGGGUAAGGAAGUCUGUGCGGG